GAGAGCUCGGCCGAGGGGAAGGGAGGCGUUCGUUUCUGGGGGAGAGGCGUCCUUCCAAGUGGCACGCAUGGGAAAAUGUGUGACUGAAGUAGACUGGGAAGAGCUGAAUGGGGGAAAAUGGAUGAUACAACAGCAAUAUGUUUCACAUGAAGAGUUGGAAAUUCCUUAAGAUCAUAAAAUAUUGCAGCCUUACCAUCCAAUAAUGAUUCAAAAUUCAGACUAACAAUCUCCCAGGAUAAUUUGUUUCUGAAAGUAGCAUCAUCUAUGAAAAAGCACACACAGAGUGAAGAGCAUUUCAAAAUGAGAUACUUUUUUCUCUGGGAAGAAAAGUGAAGAAAAUAUAGGUUCCAAAUGGAAGAAGAAAAUUCCAGGAAGAAAGCAGGAGAAUUCCAUAGUCAAAGCCUUGGGUAAAAGCUCCAAAAGAGACUCAGACUUGUACAGAAAGCCUGCUUACCUCUCUCAAUAUGUGUCAGUCUGGACUCAUAUUCCGCCAAGGCAUUAUUGGCAUCCAACUCAGAAUCAUCCAGAGUAGCAGUUUCUAAAAAUCAGAUUGAUAAGAUUCUGAGCAGAAAACAGAAAACUUCCAACUGGUGAUCAUGUUGCAUCGGUUUUUGGAGGACUGGUGUACAUUUAUAUCACUGCAACACAGAAACUGACUUCACAAGAUGUUCCAUUUAUAAAUAAGGUAGUUCACCCAUCAUUAAUAAUAUACAGAGAAGCCAAAGGCACUACAAUCAAAAUGUUCAUUUUGCAGAACAUCUAGCUGCAUAUGUCUUUUUCUUGGCAUUGCUCUUAUCUUUUAAAAACAAUAUCAGUUUGACAAAUUAUAAAAGAAAAAUCACAUUGUAGUCACCCUAUAAUAUAUAUCAAUCAAUUAUAUUAGCAUCAAGAAAACACUGAAAAUUAAUACUACAAGAACUCAGAAUAAACAAACUGGGGUCAUGAUUUUUCAGUUGUUUCUCAUUCUCAUCUGUCAUAGAAUUGUACAAAUUCAGUAAGAUAAUUUGUUUAAACUAAGUGCUGCAUCUGUGGAUUAUUUGUAUAAUAUAUCAGUGAUAAAGUGGGAAAUGUCAUUCAGAAACAGUAUUUUUGUAACACUUAAGUUCCAGACUAAUUUUAAGUAUCUAGUACAAACAGGGAUGAGAUUAAAACAUCAAAUUUAUAAGAAAUCUAAGCCCGUCAACAUCUAUUGCUAUUCCUCUUCCCACUUGUUUGCUCACUCUGUUUGGGGUAGAAGAAAUAGUAUGUCUAAUUGCUCAGUUCUGAGCUAGCCGAAUAGAAUUUUAUAGAGCUAUAAUUCUUUUGCCUUCUCUAGUUGAUAAAGAAAAUAUAAACAAAGGCUAUGGCCCAAAACCUUAUGGAGACCAUAGGUUGUGCCACAUGAUUGUCAUUUUAAUAGAGGUUUGUGUGU